UACGGAGGGUGCAAGCGUUGUUCGGAAUUACUGGGCGUAAAGAGCACGUAGGCGGGUUCAUAAGCUAAUUGUGAAAGCCCUGGGCUUAACCUGGGAAUUGCAGUUAGAACUGUGGAUCUUGAAUGCUUGAGAGGUUGGGGAAAUUCCUGGUGUAGAAGUGAAAUUCGUAGAUAUCAGGAGGAACACCGGAGGCGAAGGCGCCUGACUGGCAAUGCAUUGACGCUGAGGUGCGAAAGCGUGGGUAGCAAACAGG
rnacentral:rRNA from 1 species